AGUGCAAUUGCUGGAUCAUAUGGUAACUCUAUACUUAACUUUUUGAGGAACUGCCAUAUUAUUUUCCAAAGUGGCUGUAUUAUUUUGCAUUCCCACUAGUAAU
rnacentral:pre_miRNA from 1 species